rnacentral:rRNA from 1 species
UACGGGGGGGGCAAGCGUUGUUCGGAAUUACUGGGCGUAAAGGGCUGGUAGGCGGCCAACUAAGUCGGAUGUGAAAUCCCCAGGCUUAACCUGGGAACUGCAUCCGAUACUGGUCGGCUUGAAUCCGGGAGAGGGAUGCAGAAUUCCAGGUGUAGCGGUGAAAUGCGUAGAUAUCAGGAGGAACACCGGUGGCGAAGGCGGUUCUCUGGGAAUAUCCUGACGCUGAGGAGCGAAAGUGUGGGGAGCGAACAGG